CUUCUUAGUAACUUUCUUUGCCUUUAAGUUUUCGACAUUUAUUUGAUUCCUAUUCUAUAGUUAACCGUUAAGAAAACUAGAAAUCUGAAUUGUUUAAAAAUGGAUAGCUGCUGCAAAGACGUUGAAACUGACAGUGUGUCGUAUAGAGAAGGAUUUUCAAUAAACUAUCACAAUAUUAGCUCAAGUAGCAGCACAAUUGCUUCGCAUACCUCUGGUAACGAAAAACCUAAUGUCUCCACUUCGAAUCCAAAAAUUGGCCGUCCCCCUGCAACAGUGGCUACUAGGGUACAUCCUGACGUAAUUUCACAACGGUGCAGUAUUGGAUUAACUGGGAGCUCCAAUGGAGUCUGCAUAGAAGGACAUCCAAAGAAGCACAAUGGUCACAAAAAAUAAAUGUAAAAAUACAAAAUAAAUGUAUUGUUACCUAAUUAAUUUAUACAUUACUCAAAAUUUACAUUGGAGGUAACACUUAAACAAUUCGUUCAGUAUAAAACGUCAUUAGAAAAUAUGUGAUAUUAAAGCCUGCGGCUAAACUAACCACAUAAAAUAGGAUUACAAUAGGUAACGG